rnacentral:rRNA from 1 species
AUUGAACGCUGGCGGCAUGCUUUACACAUGCAAGUCGAACGGUAACAGGCCUUCGGGUGCUGACGAGUGGCGAACGGGUGAGUAAUGCAUCGGAACGUGCCCAGAGGUGGGGGAUAACGCAGCGAAAGCUGUGCUAAUACCGCAUGUGAUCUGAGGAUGAAAGCGGGGGACCAGGCAGCAAUGUUUGGCCUCGCGCCUUUGGAGCGGCCGAUGUCAGAUUAGGUAGUUGGUGGGGUAAAGGCCUACCAAGCCGACGAUCUGUAGCUGGUCUGAGAGGACGACCAGCCACACUGGGACUGAGACACGGCCCAGACUCCUACGGGAGGCAGCAGUGGGGAAUUUUGGACAAUGGGCGCAAGCCUGAUCCAGCAAUGCCGCGUGCGGGAAGAAGGCCUUCGGGUUGUAAACCGCUUUUGUACGGAACGAAAAGGCUCUGGCUAAUACCUGGGGCUGAUGACGGUACCGUAAGAAUAAGCACCGGCUAACUACGC